AUUGAACGCUGGCGGCAGGCCUAACACAUGCAAGUCGAGCGAGAGGCGCACGGGUGAGAAAUGUCUGGGAAACUGCCUGAUGGAGGGGGAUAACUACUGGAAACGGUAGCUAAUACAGCAUACCAUCAGAUGUGCCCAGAUGGGAGUAGAUAGUAGGGGGGGUAAUGGCUCACCUAGGCGACGAUCCCUAGCUGGUCUGCGAGGAUGACCAGCCACACUGGAACUGAGACACGGUCCAGACUCCUACGGGAGGCAGCAGUGGGGAAUAUUGCACAAUGGGCGCAAGCCUGAUGCAGCCAUGCCGCGUGUGUGAAGAAGGCCUUCGGGUUGUAAAGCACUUGCAGCGGGGAGGCGUUACCCGCAGAAGAAGCACCGGCUAACUCCGUGCCAGCAGCCGCGGUAAUUC
rnacentral:rRNA from 1 species